CCAUUCUGCAGAAUAAGGAUCAGAACUUUACAGAGGUAAACUGUGUCUGUUCUUUUUACUAUUACAGCAGUUCAUCGUGGCCCUGUCAUUCGCCUCCUUCACCAAAGCUCUGUCAGCGACCUACAUGAAGAGUGCCAUCACUCAGAGAGACACUUUGACCUGUCCAGCUCUCUCAUCGGACUCAUAGACGGCAGCUUUGAGAUGGGUAACCUGCUGUUCCUGGCUGUGGUCAGCCAUUUUGGGGCGAAGCUGCACCGGCUCAGGCUCCCCGUGUCCUUGUUCAGAUAAUCACCCCAGUUGGCCUUUUUCUCUUCAUCUAGUAUGCCCAACAUUGACAACGGUGUACAGUUAAAUCUCGGAUUCCCCUGUGGAUGAUAUGGAGAGGUUCUGGAAUUGGCUAUUCCCGUACAGUUCUGCAAGGCUCUGAAUAACUGAUUUUCAAACUCUCUUCACUGAUCAUGAUGGAUUUUUGACACAAAGCCAAACUUUGGGAAAAAAUCAUCGAAAAGCUUUUUUGCUGCAGUUUUCCCUGACUUAUUUCUAGUGGGGUAGGCUUGUGCAAAUUUUGUAAAGUUAUCUAAAAUAACUCAAAUGUACUCAUAGCCCCCUCUGCUUUUCUCCAAAUGCACAUAGUCAAUUGAAAUCAUCUGGAAAGGAGCUGUAGCUCGUACAUGUUGCAUUGGGGCCCUAGUUAUUACACUGGGUUUCUUUUGUUUGAUAUACUUACACACUUUGGUGAUAAAGUGUUCAAUGUCGUGUUGCAUGCGCGGCCAAUAAAAACGUUCUCGUGCUAAGUUCAACACUCUUUCUGUUCCUAGAUGGGCCAUUUCAGUGUGUAAGUACUUGUAAAUCAGUGUUCUAUACUGACUUGGUACCACAACUUGUUUCCUUUCUGCUGUUUUCCUUUGUAAUAAUCCAUCUGGUGAGACAUGGAGCCUGUUUCACUCUCGCAGUAACUGUUUGACUUUGUAUGACUCUUGUUGACAUUCUGUUGGUUUAGGCUUAGUCCCGCUUAGUCCUUUGACUUUUCAGUUCCAAGAUUCUCGAUACAGCCGCAUCCUUUAAUUGAGCCUGCAUGAUAUCGUUGUGGAGACAGUCGGUCUGUAACUGUUCCACCCCACCAUGACAGCUCAUCUUGCACUGAUGGCCUUAGUGUGACCGUGGAUAUCCACGUUACACAGUCAUUCUGUUGUGUCUGAACAUUAUUGAGUGUUGCUUUUACCAUUUCAAGUGAGUGUUUCUCAGUGCAUUCUUCCAUGUAAUGUUCAGCAUGCAAAGGAGAGCGUGACAGAAAGUCUGUGUCAUUGUUUACCUUUCCAGGACGAUACUUCAGUGUGAGAUUAAAGUCAGACAGCUCUGCCACCCAGCGAUGACCGGUGGCAUUCAGUCUUGCUGUAGUUAGUACAUAUGUCAAGGGGUUAUUAUCACUGUACACUGUCACAGAGGGAGCAUAAAAUAGGUAAUCUCGGAACCGCUCAGUCACUGCCCAUUCGAGGGCCAAGAAUUUCAGUUUCCCUGAGUGAAGGUGAUAGUUUCUCUCUGCUUGAGUCAGGAUGCGGGAGCCAUAUCCAAUGACUCUCAGUUUGCCACUUUGUCGUUGGUAUAACACACCUCCCAAUCCUUCUUCAGAGGCAUCAACAUGCAGGAUAAAAGGCUCCUUGAAAUCUGGGUAAGCAAGCACAGGUGGAUUAGUCAACACACUCACCAAGUGUUCUAAUGCUCUCUGGUGAGCAUCCUCCCAUAUAACUUUCUGGUGGGGCAGAGCCUGUCCCGACUGCACAGCUACCUUGGUCCUUCGCUUCCCGGAUGCUGGGGUCUUCGUCUUUACUGCUAGUAAGUCAUAGAGACAUUUAGCAUGUUGUGAAAAGUUCUGUACAUAACCCCUAUAGUACCCUAGAAACCCCAGUAGUUUCCUCAGCCUGCUCACGUUUGUUGGUGGCCUGUUUACCAGUUCUUGCACUGCUACAAUUUCUUUAACAUCCAUUCUGUAACCCUCAGCAGAAAUCAUUUUUCCUAAAUAACAGACCUCAUUCUUGAUUAGGUCACACUUAUCAGCCCUGAGUUUAAUACCCCAUUUAUUUUGCUGCCUAAGUACCUGACGGACAUCUUCCACAUGUUGUUCAAAUGACUGACUAAAAAUAAGAAUGUCAGAAUCUGUAUACCAUAUUUGGAUAUCUCUUAUCCCCUCUAAACUUUCCUCCAUGCUUCUUUGGAAGGCACUAUAUGAAAAACUUCUCGUUCAUCAUCACCAACAAACGACUAAG